rnacentral:rRNA from 1 species
AUUGAACGCUAGCGGGAUGCUUUACACAUGCAAGUCGAACGGCAGCGCGGACUUCGGUCUGGCGGCGAGUGGCGAACGGGUGAGUAAUGUAUCGGAACGUGCCCAGUAGCGGGGGAUAACUACGCGAAAGCGUAGCUAAUACCGCAUACGCCCUACGGGGGAAAGCAGGGGAUCGUAAGAACUUGCACUAUUGGAGCGGCCGAUAUCGGAUUAGCUAGUUGGUGAGGUAACGGCUCACCAAGGCGAUGAUCCGUAGCUGGUUUGAGAGGACGACCAGCCACACUGGGACUGAGACACGGCCCAGACUCCUACGGGAGGCAGCAGUGGGGAAUUUUGGACAAUGGGGGCAACCCUGAUCCAGCCAUCCCGCGUGUGCGAUGAAGGCCUUCGGGUUGUAAAGCACUUUUGGCAGGAAAGAAACGUCGCGGGCUAAUACCCCGUGGAACUGACGGUACCUGCAGAAUAAGCACCGGCUAACUACGUG